GAAGACAGCGCGCUAGCGUAUCUAGUCUAUGUAUAUGUAUGGUCGGCACGUCUGGUAGCAUCUCUGGCUGCUGUUGACCUUGUUUUUGGAGUAAAACACGGUGGAAGCUGAAUUAGUGAGGAUGACUCCUGCUCCUGUCAUCUCUAAGCUCCUCACACAUCUUUACCUGCACAUGAGGAAAAUCACUCCUGUAGAAUGCAGAUGUUCAGAGGGAGAUGAUGCCACAUCUGGUCCAGCUGAUGGAAGGUCUUGAAGUUCUCUGACUGGCCUUGACUGAAGAUGGUCGUCUCACUGGAUUUAAGAUGCACAAUGAGGGACGUCUGCAGAGACUGAGAAAGAGUCUCACCACAUCCUGACAUGAGGAAAAAGACUUUAUUGAAGACUACAAUGAGAAAAACUAUCAGACAGCAGACGACAUGCAUUCAAGGUGAGCUCUGAACAUUUGAUCUGGAACAGGAAUUCAAUAACGGCAGCAUGAGCUUCAUUUCAGUCUGUAGCUGCUGAAUUCAUGGAUGAAUCAUCUGGCACUAGAGAGGAAGACCAUCAAACAUCCACGUCAGCUGAUGGAGGUCCAAGAGUCUCACCCAACAACCAACCUACAGAGUGAAGACCUCAAAUCUGAUUGGACGGCCUCCUAUUCAGCCACAUUUUAGGCUGUUAGAUUGUUCCAGAUAAGACAAGUACAAGAUUCUUCAGAGCCGUUCUACCACGAGCCUGACAGGAAGAGCUCCAACAGCUACUGAAUGUUCCUGUGGUUCCCUCAAGGCUACAGGAG